GACGAACGCUGGCGGCGUGCUUAACACAUGCAAGUCGAACGGUAAGGCCCCUUCGGGGGUACACGAGUGGCGAACGGGUGAGUAACGCGUGAGUAACCUGCCCUUGACUCUGGGAUAACAGAUGGAAACGUCUGCUAAUACCGGAUACACAACUACCUGGGCAUCCAGGAAGUUGGAAAGCUCCGGCGGUCAUGGAUGGACUCGCGUCCUAUCAGCUUGUUGGUGGGGUAAUGGCCUACCAAGGCGACGACGGGUAGCCGGCCUGAGAGGGCGACCGGCCACGAUUGGGACUGAGAUACGGCCCAAACUCCUACGGGAGGCAGCAGUGGGGAAUAUUGCACAAUGGGCGCAAGCCUGAUGCAGCAACGCCGCGUGCGGGACGACGGCCUUCGGUUGUAAACGCUUUCAGCAGGACGAAGCGCAAGUGACGGUACCGUGCAGAAGAAGACGACGGCCUAACUACGUAGCCAGCAGCCGCGGUAAACUAAGUCUACG
rnacentral:rRNA from 1 species